GGCUGGUUAGCUCAGUCAGUUGAGCGUGGCGCUAACAAGGCCAGGGUCACGGGUUCGAUUCCCGUUUGGUCCC
rnacentral:tRNA from 1 species